CUCUAGGAUGUACUAAUUGCAUGGGCUGUGUAUAUUUUUAUUUAAUACCCAGAGCAUGCAGUGUGAACAUAAUAGUGAAA
rnacentral:miRNA from 12 species